rnacentral:rRNA from 1 species
GACGGAGGAUGCAAGCGUUAUCCGGAAUGAUUGGGCGUAAAGGGCUCGUAGGUGGCCAACUAAGUCAGACGUGAAAUCCCUCAGCUUAACUGGGGAACUGCGUCUGAUACUGGAUGGCUUGAGUUUGGGAGAGGGAUGCGGAAUUCCAGGUGUAGCGGUGAAAUGCGUAGAUAUCUGGAGGAACACCGGUGGCGAAGGCGGCAUCCUGGACCAACACUGACACUGAGGAGCGAAAGCCAGGGGAGCAAACGGG